UUUUAUGGAGAGUUUGAUCCUGGCUCAGGAUGAACGCUGGCGGCGUGCCUAAUACAUGCAAGUCGAGCGAACGGACGAGAAGCUUGCUUCUCUGAUGUUAGCGGCGGACGGGUGAGUAACACGUGGAUAACCUACCUAUAAGACUGGGAUAACUUCGGGAAACCGGAGCUAAUACCGGAUAAUAUUUUAAACCGCAUGGUUCAAAAGUGAAAGACGGUCUUGCUGUCACUUAUAGAUGGAUCCGCGCUGCAUUAGCUAGUUGGUAAGGUAACGGCUUACCAAGGCAACGAUGCAUAGCCGACCUGAGAGGGUGAUCGGCCACACUGGAACUGAGACACGGUCCAGACUCCUACGGGAGGCAGCAGUAGGGAAUCUUCCGCAAUGGGCGAAAGCCUGACGGAGCAACGCCGCGUGAGUGAUGAAGGUCUUCGGAUCGUA
rnacentral:rRNA from 1 species